GUUUAGGCUACUGGACAGGAGAGUGUAGGCUACUGGACAGGAGAGUGUAGGUUACUGGAUAGAAGAUUGUAGGCUACUGGACAGGAGAGGAGGGUGUAGGCUACUGGACAGGGGGGGAGGUUGUAGGCUACUGGACAGGAGAGGAGGUUUUAGGCUACUAGACAGGAGAGGAGUUUGUAGGCUACUGGACAGGAGAGGAGGUUGUAGGCUACUGGACAGGAGAGGAGGUUGUAGGCUACUGGACAGGAGAGGAGGUUGUAGGCUACGGGACAUGAGAGGAGGUUUUAGGCUACUGGACAGGAGAGGAGAGUGUAGGCUACUGGACAGGAGAGGAGGUUGUAGGCUACUGGACAGGAGAGGAGG
ensembl:lncRNA